rnacentral:siRNA from 1 species
UUGAAAGUGACUACAUCGGGGUU